rnacentral:tmRNA from 1 species
GGGGGUGUUCUGGUUUCGACGGGAGUGAAUGAAUACACGGUAAGCGAGCCGCGGACCCUGCACCGCGCAACAACGGGGAAAAACAAUAACUGACAAUAGCGAAUACGCUUUCGCGGCGUAAUGCCGCGCGCCGCCCCUGACCGCCCGCUGGUCAGGCAAACGGCGUCAUUGAAGCGGGGAACGAGCGCGCCAAAGCUUUGAGGCGCCGCCCGUAACCAUGAAGCUACCGUAGCCGCAAGCCCGCCAUGGGGCGUGCGGCGAGGGGAAUCCCAAAACCAUGGAUGCGCUCGGAGAAAACCGUGCAGGCAUGCUUUCGGACAGGGGUUCGAUUCCCCUCACCUCCACCA